UAAUCUUCAGAUGAAGUUUAAACUCUUGUAGGGUAAAGGAAAAAACCCAGAAAUAAAUGAUGAUUUUUCGAUCAUCAUUUGGAUUAAGAAUACUUAAAUAGUUGUGCUGAUGUACAAGAUCUGUAGGAAUAUGACUGGCUUCCAGAUGGGAGGGGGGAACUAUAAUAAUGAAUUAUGGGUCUGAUGAAAGGUCAUUCUUCUUCUGUCACAUAGACUUCAAAUCAGUCACUGUGUCUCCCUUGCUCGCUCUUCUAAUUGGAAUGCUGUAUAAUCUAAAAUGCUUUUUCCCUGGUGUUUUGCUGAUAAAGUAAUUUCUAAUUUGCUUCAAAAUUAUAGGUAUGAAGAGAAACUUAGUUGUAUAGAGGAAAUGCUCCUCAGUUUGAAGAUCUUGUUUGAAGGGCCAAUGGAGAAACACCCUGAAAUUAAAGAUAUUUCAGAGAAAAAAGGAGGGAAGCACACAGACACAAGAAAGAAAGCAAAUGUCUGCUCAUCCCAGUGCAGCACCCUUCAAACCAACCUUCCCCAAAGGAUCCAGCAGACACGGGCUGAGAAGAGAGCUAAGCACAAGCUGGUAAGCACUCACUGCAAGGAGUUCUAAGUGCUGUGGGGUUUAGUCAAACAGUAAAGCACAAGCUUCUACUAUGACUCAUCUGGUGUAAAACCAGUGCUAAGUAUUGUACAUAAUUAAGACAGCAUUAUUACAGUGAAAUGGCACUUCUUUUUUUGGUAUGGCUAAAGUCUUGAGAAGGUGUAAUGUUUUCAGCCUUCAGAGCUGUGAAGAUGAGGAGUUCUGAUAGGAGUUCAUUCUAAAAGAUAUCAUGGCUACAGCGAGUUUAGAUCGUAAUUUGCGUUAUUGCUGAAUCUUUGCACGCAUAUUUCUGUUGCCUUUGUGAAAAGCUGUGGUAUUUGUGAGAAUAAACACGACCUUAGAGUCA
rnacentral:lncRNA from 1 species